rnacentral:tRNA from 1 species
GCAGUCGUGGCCUAGUGGUUAAGGUGAUGGACUAGAAAUCUAUUGGGGUCUCCCCGCACAGGUUCAAAUCCUGUCGACUGCG